rnacentral:rRNA from 1 species
AGUGAACGCUGGCGGUAGGCCUAACACAUGCAAGUCGAACGGCAGCACAGUAAGAGCUUGCUCUUACGGGUGGCGAGUGGCGGACGGGUGAGGAAUACAUCGGAAUCUACUUUUUCGUGGGGGAUAACGUAGGGAAACUUACGCUAAUACCGCAUACGACCUACGGGUGAAAGCAGGGGAUCUUCGGACCUUGCGCGAUUGAAUGAGCCGAUGUCGGAUUAGCUAGUUGGCGGGGUAAAGGCCCACCAAGGCGACGAUCCGUAGCUGGUCUGAGAGGAUGAUCGGCCACACUGGAACUGAGACACGGUCCAGACUCCUACGGGAGGCAGCAGUGGGGAAUAUUGGACAAUGGGCGCAAGCCUGUUCCAGCCAUACCGCGUGGGUGAAGAAGGCCUUCGGGUUGUAAAGCCCUUUUGUUGGGAAAGAAAAGCAGCAGGUUAAUACCCCGCUGUUCUGACGGUACCCAAAGAAUAAGCACCGGCUAACUUCGUG